rnacentral:rRNA from 2 species
UGGCGAGCGACGAUAUUAAAAUCUUCCACAAUGGACGAAAGUCUGAUGGAGCAACGCCGCGUGAGUGAUGAAGGGUUUCGGCUCGUAAAACUCUGUUGUUAAAGAAGAACAAGUGUUAGAGUAACUGUUAACACUUUGACGGUAUUUAACCAGAAAGCCACGGCUAACUACGUGCCAGCAGCCGCGGUAAUACGUAGGUGGCAAGCGUUGUCCGGAUUUAUUGGGCGUAAAGCGAGCGCAGGCGGUUUUGUAAGUCUGCUGUGAAAGCCCUCAGCUCAACUGAGGAAGUGCAGUGGAAACUACAAAACUUGAGUACAGAAGAGGAAAGUGGAACUCCAUGUGUAGCGGUGAAAUGCGUAGAUAUAUGGAAGAACACCAGUGGCGAAGGCGGCUUUCUGGUCUGUUACUGACGCUGAGGCUCGAAAGCAUGGGUAGCGAACAGGAUUAGAUACCCUGGUAGUCCAUGCCGUAAACGAUGAAUACUAGGUGUUGGAGGGUUUCCGCCCUUCAGUGCCGCAGCUAACGCAUUAAGUAUUCCGCCUGGGGAGUACGACCGCAAGGUUGAAACUCAAAGGAAUUGACGGGGGCCCGCACAAGUGGUGGAGCAUGUGGUUUAAUUCGAUGCUACGCGAAGAACCUUACCAGCUCUUGACAUCUUCUGCCAACCCAAGAGAUUGGGCGUUCCCUUCGGGGACAGAAUGACAGGUGGUGCAUGGUGUCGUCAGCCUCGUUCGA